rnacentral:rRNA from 1 species
GUACACUCCUACGGGAGGCAGCAGUGGGGAAUUUUGGACAAUGGGCGAAAGCCUGAUCCAGCAAUGCCGCGUGAGUGAAGAAGGCCUUCGGGUUGUAAAGCUCUUUUGUCAGGGAAGAAACGGUGAAAGCUAAUAUCUUUUGCUAAUGACGGUACCUGAAGAAUAAGCACCGGCUAACUACGUGCCAGCAGCCGCGGUAAUACGUAGGGUGCAAGCGUUAAUCGGAAUUACUGGGCGUAAAGCGUGCGCAGGCGGUUUUGUAAGUCUGAUGUGAAAUCCCCGGGCUCAACCUGGGAAUUGCAUUGGAGACUGCAAGGCUAGAAUCUGGCAGAGGGGGGUAGAAUUCCACGUGUAGCAGUGAAAUGCGUAGAUAUGUGGAGGAACACCGAUGGCGAAGGCAGCCCCCUGGGUCAAGAUUGACGCUCAUGCACGAAAGCGUGGGGAGCAAACAGGAUUAGAUACCCGUGUAGUCCCAUGAU